rnacentral:misc_RNA from 1 species
AAGUCGUAACAAGGUUUCCGUAGGUGAACCUGCGGAAGGAUCAUUACUGAAUUUUUAAUGCCUUGGUUGUUGCUGGCCUUUCAUUAGGCAUGUGCACGCCUCGGUUAUUUCCAAAUUCUUUACACCUCUGUGCACUUUACAUGGAUUUUUUUAAAUAUCUUCUUAUUGAUGGACGUUCGAGCUUGCACCGCGAGUUUGACGAAAGUCAAUUGAAGGUUUAAAAUCUGUGGCUUACACAUUUAUACGCUUCAGUUCAAAGAAUGUAAUACUCGCGUUUAACGCAAUUAAAUAAUACAACUUUCAGCAACGGAUCUCUUGGCUCUC